rnacentral:rRNA from 1 species
AGCAGCCGCGGUAAUACGUAGGGUGCGAGCGUUAAUCGGAAUUACUGGGCGUAAAGCGUGCGCAGGCGGUUGUGUAAGACAGGUGUGAAAUCCCCGGGCUUAACCUGGGAACUGCGCUUGUGACUGCACGGCUAGAGUACGGUAGAGGGGGGUGGAAUUCCACGUGUAGCAGUGAAAUGCGUAGAGAUGUGGAGGAACACCGAUGGCGAAGGCAGCCCCCUGGGCCUGUACUGACGCUCAUGCACGAAAGCGUGGGGAGCAAACAGGAUUAGAUACCCUGGUAGUCCACGCCGUAAACGAUGAUCACUCGUUGUUGGCAAUACACCGUCAGCGACUGAACGAAAGCAUUAAGUGAUCCACCUGGGAAGUACGAUCGCAAGGUUGAAACUCAAAGGAAUUGACGGGGGCCCGCACAAGCGGAGGAGCAUGUGGUUUAAUUCGAUGAUACGCGAGGAACCUUACCUGGGCUUAAAUGCAGAACGACCUCCACCGAAAGGUGGAUUUCCUUCGGGACGGUCUGCAAGGUGCUGCAUGGUUGUCGUCAGCUCGUGCCGUGAGGUGUCGGGUUAAGUCCCAUAACGAGCGCAACCCCUAUUCUUAGUUGCCAUCAGGUUAAGCUGGGGACUCUAAGGAAACUGCCUACGCAAGUAGUGAGGAAGGUGGGGAUGACGUCAAAUCAGCACGGCCCUUAUGUCCAGGGCUACACACGUGCUACAAUGGCCGGUACAGAGGGUCGCUACAUGGUGACAUGAUGCUAAUCUCGAAAGCCGGUCUCAGUUCGGAUCGAAGUCUGCAACUCGACUUCGUGAAGCUGGANUCGCUAGUAAUCGCAUAUCAGCAAU